rnacentral:misc_RNA from 1 species
GGCAGAGGCGGGGGUGGAGCUAUUGGCAUGUUGGGUGGUUGCAUGGACAUCGACAUGGGCAUAAAAGGUCUGGGAACACCCAUAGGGGUGAAUCCAGGGGGUGGUGGCACAGGUAUGCUUGGUGGGUUCACAGAUAUCGGUUGGGGCAUAGGUGGCGGUCGAUUCAUCAUCAUAGGCUGCUGAGAUUGCAUAGGCGGUAGAAUAGGUCUCAUCUGAGGAGGCAUUGGUGUGAUAGCAGGCCUCGGUGGUGGAAGCACCGGUAUCGG